rnacentral:sRNA from 1 species
AGAGGAAGUGAAGGAACAAUUUCAAAAGAUAUUCAUAGGUUUUCAUGACUGUGAAUCAUAUCUUAAGACUCUGUGGCUACCUUUGAAGCUCUAAACCACAUGAUGUAUGUCAUUUACCCAGCAUCUGUGCAAUUCCUGUGGCUUAGGUUGCCCAAAGUCCCCAGUGAGUUGAAAAUGAACUGUAACCAACAAGAAGAUCAUUGGUAAAAUCUUUGAGUAUAUUAGUCUGAAAUAUUUGGCCACACCACUAGCCAAAAGCUUACUGAAGUUUGCAUUUCCUUGACUAUGAGGAAUCUUUUCUUCAGUGGAACUAGUGAGAUCAAAAUGGAGUCUUUCUUAGAGAUGUAGCUUUUGAGGUGAUAUGUCUCAUAACUUAAAGUAUGCUCAAGAUUCUUCACAGUGGGCUAAUUAAAUAUGAGAUUUCCUAUUGACCAAGAGGUACACGAGAUGGCUCAGAGACUAAUAGAGGUUAUGUGAAAGCUGGAGGGCCUGAGUUCGAGUUCCCUAGCAUUCAUAUAAUAUCAGAGUAUGGCUGCAUAUGCCUAUAACUUUAACACUGGCAUUAGAGGCAGAGAGGGAAGAUCCAAGGAACUCACUAGACAGCCAGCCUAGACAAAAUAACACAUUUUGUUAUGAGCAAGAGACUUUGUCUGAAGGGAACAAGGUGGAGAGUGAUGUAGCAGGACACUCAAAGGUCUUUUUGUGGCCUUUGUGCACACACACGAGUGCUUGCACUUGCAUGCAAAUGUACACACACACACACACACACACACACACACACACACGAACAAGUGACUACCACUGAACCAAUAAGAGAGUAUUAACUUUUUUAAAUCACCUCUCCCUCUGUAUGUAUGUGUGUGUCGGUCAAAAGACAGCUUUUAAGAGUUGUUUCUCUUCUUCUACCUUCGCAUGGGUUUCAUGGGGUUUGAGGAUCAAACUAACUCAAAUUGUUGUCAGAUUAGGGCAAGUGCUUUUGUCCACCGAGCCAUGUUGAUGGCCCAAGAACGGAUUUUUGAGUGGAUUUGAUCUAAGAGCACUUUUUUUUUUCUUAAUGGUGAAGAAAAACGGUAUCCCAGAAUUUUCUCUUAAAAGAUAUCCAAUUCGUCUCAGAAAAACAAAGUGUUAAUGUUGAUGAAAACAUAGUGUUACUGUAAAUUUUUUUCCCUCUUUUCCCACAUGGCAAUGAACAAAGAGAACUUCUGACAAUAGACUCAUGGUGAGGAGAGGAUUCUCUUUCCACACUAAGCAAUCAUCAGUGUUCAGCCGAAGACUCCCACAGAAUAUCAUCAUCUAAUUGAGUUCUUGUGGGGCCAGAAAGCCCUGUGACUAGGGAAGCCAAUCCAAAGCAAGAAUGAGGUCAAGACAUGUUUAAACCGGAAAAUCUCAUCCUGAGAGAGACAGGAGUAGGAUUACUUCCUCCUUGCUCUGGGCUGCAUGUCCCAGCACAUGUAAGCUUUUGGACCCUCACCCCAUCCCCACCCUCACCUCUCUUGAGAUGGUCACAUAGCCUGGUGGUCAGGUUUCAGAUUAAAGUUUCUCUCUCCUCAUAGGAACUUGCCCAGCUAGCACCUGGAAUUCUGUUUCAUGCAAAUGAAGCAUUCCUAGCCUCUUGGCCCUAGGCAAUGACAUAUACUCACCCAAAAAACCUCUUCCCACUCCCUAAGGUUUAUAUAGUGUUUGUUCACCCCUAAUAGAAGAGCUAUUUCACUGAAAACUGUCUCCAGAGACGAUUAUUUCUUCUGCACUCAAGCUGACCAAUAUCCUGUUAACCUACCCAGCCUGGCUAACCUUUAUUCCUUUACCACAGUGUCUGGAUAUUCUGAGGUGGAAAAGCAGAUUCGGACUGGCAAGUUCUGAUACUCACCUGGGAAUAAUGUUCAAGCUCACAGACUGAGCGUUCCAACCACAGGAUGUGUGUGGUAACAAGUACAUCACCUUCUUCAGCUGUCUUGAAGCCCCUAAAAUCUUGUCCUUUUGGGACACAGGACAGGAUCCCUCUGGAAGGAAGAAGAUUCCAUUACUACUAAAGGAGAGUAGAUGCCAUCAUCCAAUGUUUUGGGACAGAGUCUCUUGCUGGCUGAAAGCUGACCUUGUAGGUGAUGCUGGCUGCCCAUCUGGACCUGAGAUCUACCUGUUUCCACCAUCUCAGCACUGAGAUCACAAGCACCACCAAACCUGGCCUUGAUAUAUAGUUUCCAAGGAUUAAAUUUGGAUCCUCAUGCCUCUACCUCAAACAAUUUACCUACUUAGCCCUUCUUCCAUGCUUUUUCCCGUAGCUCCUUUCUUUGGCGUUCUCCUAUGGUAGCUCUUCAUACGUCAUUAGCUUGGUUCACUAUGGAUUGUCUUUGGCAUGUAGCACAAGGGACUCCUACCAGCUCACCUGGCCCGACACAACUGCCAGCUUGGGUGCACGAAGGACUUACUCAGUUCUUCCUUUUCUUCUAGGCCUUUUAUCAGUCUUUAUCAACACAUACUCCUAAAAGGCCAGUGGUCCUGAACUAUUAUGAGAUUAAGAUAGUUUGGGACAAAAAGCAAGUGAAUAGGUUCGUAGCUAUAGGACAUCUUACCAGCAUAGCUGUGCAGCUCUGUAUGGUAGCAUAUUGUGGUGGUUUGAAUAUGCUUGGCCCAGGGAGUGGCAUUAUUAGGGGGUGUGGCUUUGUUGGAGGAAGUGUGUCACUGUGGGGUGGGCUUUGAGACCCUCCUCCUAGCUAACUACCUGGAAGCCUGUCAUCUCCUACUGGCCUUCAGAUCAAAAUGUGGAACUCUCAGCUCCUCCAGUACUAUGCCUACCUGGACACUGCCAUGCUUCCUCCCAUGAUGAUAAUGGAUGGAACCACAGAACCAGUAGUAAGCCAGCCCAAAUUAAAUGUUGUCCUUUAUAAGAGAUGACUUGGUCAUGGUGUCUCUUUACAGCACUGGAAAUCCUAACUAAGAUACAUAGUAAGAGACUCAAGAGCCUUCUUGAUGGCUGUUCAGGUUAGGUUUUUCUUGUCAAUUUGAUACAAUCUAGAGUCACCUGAGAUGAGGAAGCCUUUGUUGAAGAAUUGCUUCCAUUGGAUUAGCCUGUGAGUAUGUGUGUGGUAUAUUGUUAUGAUUACUAAUUGAUGUAUGGGCCAAGAUGGUACUGUCAUGAAGUAGAUGGUUCUGGGCUAUCUAAGAAAGGCUGAGCACAGGCCAAUGAGAAAGGCUAUAAGUAUAUGUUCCUCCAUAGUUUCUCCUUUAGUUACUGACCUGAAUUCCCUCUAUCAGGAUGGUCACCUGAUAGUAUAAAAUGAAAUAAACCCCUUUUCCCCCAGACUGUUUUUGGUCAGAGUGCUUUUAUCACAGCAACAGAAAACAAACUUGAAUAAUAGCUUAGUAUGAAUUUAUCAUUCUUGUGGAGGAAUUAUAGACAGUUUUCCAUUACCUGAGCAAGUCAUUCUAAGAAUACAGUUUCAUCAGGCAGAACCACAGUCAAUACAAGCUUCAUGCCGGCCUCCAGUUUCCAGCCCUGUUGGGACUGAAGACCAUCUAACCUCUGGAGAAGCGAAUCAGGGUGGUGUGCAUACUGUCUGCACUUGGGACCCAUUGUAUCUGUAGUUAAUGUACUUCCUGGCAGGUAUGGGAUAUGGAGGGGAUAAUCACUUCACAGUGAUUUUCAAGUUCUAGGCAGAGAAACAGCCGAGGAAGGUCAGGCUGAGGUCUGCUGUUAAGGACUCAUCUGUGCAGCACAGCUGCUGAGUUGAGUCAGAACUCCCCAUAGAAACAGCCGAACUCAUCCCAAGUAGGAUUCGCGUGUGUGAGCCUCACACCAUUCUCCCAGUUCACAUCCACCAAUGACUGUGUCAUUUUUCUCUCAUGGCUAACUUCAAUUGUCAAGUAGAUGGGAUUUAGAAUAACCCAGGAGACAAGCUUCUUGACAUGUCUAUGAGGGUUUAUUUUGAUUAGGUUAAUUGAGGUGGGGAAACCUAUUCUAAAUGUGUUUGGUACUAUAUGGAGAGGGUCAAGUUUAGCUGUGAGCUAUCAGUAUGGCUCUUGGUUCUUAAGUGUGGGUGCAAUGCGGAGAGUGACUUUAAGGUCUGGUAUAAAGUCUCUUCCCAAUGUGAUAGACUGUAUUCUCUAAAUAUGAGCCAAAAUAAACCCUUCGUUCCUUAAGAUGGUUUUUUGUUUGUUUGUUUUUUAAUAAGGGUAUUUUGUCACAAUAGUCAAAAAUUAACUAAUACAUAUCCCUUUCUUUCCAAUUCCAUAUUUGUUUACAGAGUAUACUGUCAGUGUAUGAAGCAGAUGGGGUCAUCUGGCUUGUUUCUUGGAGUCAGAGUAAAACCUCAUUAUAGAUGGGUACUUGCCAAGAAUCCCAAACUCUGGAUACAGAGCAAAGGACACAUGGGACAGCAGAGAAGGAAACCCAGCAUCCUCAAACCCUGUGGGCAUGUGACCAUAAAGAGUAAGAAGACCUCAUCUGUUUCUCCUCCUUUUCAAGUCAUUUCCAAAACAAGAAAAAUGGAGCAUGGCCUCCAGAGGGAGACAGGUAAGGGCGGGUGUAUAUCCAGAGGAUGGUUGUGCCUGGUGGCUAGCGAUUGAUUUUCACCCAGGUCAGAAACAAGGGAACGUGUUCUUUGGCAGGGAGGAGGUAAUGAGUUCCUUCUGCAAAGGCUGUAGGUGUAUCAGGGCAGGCAGAUCUGAAUGUGGCAUUCAAAGCAGUCUGGAUGGAGACUUAACUUUGGGCCAACAGGGAAUUCAAGACUUAGUAAGCAUGAGGUCAUCAAGCAAGAUAGGUCAGCAUGAGAGGCGACUUGGGUUGCCGGCAAGAGGCAACUGGAUAGAGACAAGACCAGGAGGCUACAGAUACAGGUAGAGGAACAUGGGCACAGAAUGCCUUUGCAGUCUGUUCUUAGUAGAUGUGCCAGCAGAUGUGGGGCCAGUAUCACUGGACAGGGAAGACCUUGCAUCCAGCUGUUGAUGAAAGCCUUGACAUUUUUUCUUAAGAUGCUACCUGCCAUUUGUAUCCUGAAGUAAUGUCAUCAAGGAUCAUGCUUUUUAAAAACUAUAUUCUUAAACUAGUUAAGAAGUCACAGAAGGUGCUAUGAGCCCUGUUUUAUUUACUGUGAUUUAUUAUUGUACUUUUUACUUUAUAUUUAUUUAGAGGGCCCCAGAGCAGGAUCCUGUAUUAGGACUCUGUUCUGUAACUGCAGAGUUUUCGAUAACUUGGAAGAGGUAGGGAGUACAAAUCUAUGGCACGGUUGAGGUUUUUAUGUUCCGAAUGUACUAAAACAUUCAUCCACAACUACAAUGAAGCUGAUAUCCAAUAGGGGACUUUGUUUUCCCCAAAAUCAUUUUUAUUAAUUAUUUGGGGAUUUUAUAUAAUGCACCCCAAUUGCAUUUGCUUCCCAUUCUUGCCAGGUCCAUACUCCCACCCUGGCACCACCCCCCCAAAACCAUAAAACAAAGACAUCAAGUUCAAUUUGUGUUGCACAUGUCCUCACUGAAAUAUGGCCAUACUCCUAGUGGCCAAUCCCUUAAAGAAAAACUCAGUUCCUCCCCUCUCUAAUUCUUCACCCGUAGCCAGAAGCCAUCAAAUGUGAAGAGCUACACUUUGGUGUCUUUAUCAUAGCUUUUAAGGACUCUCCUCAAUAGCUUCCUGUCUGGACUGUUUCUUUUUGGGGUGUCCUGGGAAAGUGGGGACAGAUUGUCACAGAAGCCAUCAAUGUCUCAUUCUCCCUUAGAUGUUUGCAGUCAUUGAUAACACUGAGAAAGGAGCUUCCUUGCCCUUGCUGCCAGAAACAGCAUGGAUCAUGAACUUGUACAUGGUUUCCUGCAGCAGCUCAGAUCGCAACCUGCAGCCGGGUGGAGGCACAGAUUAGGGGCAUCAGGAUGGAAUUUUAUCAUAACCAGCAUUAGGAGAAUGAAGAGACAAUUUGUUCCCGGAGGCUUUGAUACAAUUACUUCAACACUUACCAUUUAGAUCACUGUAUGUGGUGGUUUGAAUAUGCUUAGCCAGGAGUAGCACUAUUAGGAGGCAUGGCCUUGUUGGAGUAGGAGUGGCCUUGUUGGAGGAUAUGUGUUACUGUAGGGCUUUGAGACCUUCCUCCUAGCCACACAGAAACCAAUCUUCUUCUGCCUGUCUUUGGAUCAAGGUGUAGAACUUUCAGCUCCUCCUCCAGUCUCAAGUCUGCCUGGACGUUGCUAUGCUCCUGCCUUGAUGAUAAUGGACUGAACCUCUGAACCUGGCCCUGGGAUCUAUACUCAUCGGCAUUCCUGGUGUCUUCAGCAAAUUGGCAAGAAGGAAGGUUUGUGCAAGAAGGAGAGUUAGCCAGCGACAGAGGGACUGCAUAAUUUGUUGCCUAAGUGGGGACAUAAUUGGAAAUAAAAGGGAAAGCCAGGCCAUCCAGGUCAAUCAAGGUCACCUUGCUUUUAACAGUUGGGCACCAAGAUUGUUCCUGCCUUGCAAUAGCCAGCCUCUACCAACCACGCUGCUGCCAUUUAGACAUGGUUAGGAUGGUAAUCAAAUAUUAUGUAAACCCCACAGCAUGUGUGCAACAUGUAUAGUUUUAUAGACUUGCUUAUUAAUGUCUGAAGGAGCAUUGUGUUGGCUAACUUAGGUUUUCUGUGUUGAAGAGAACUCUUGAGUAAGAGAAUAGUAUGGGCACAGCAAGAGAGGAAUCAGCUGGUCCUUUUAAAUCACUCAACUCAGAGUUCAACCAGGGUCUCAUGUGCUCAGCCUCUCACCUGUCCCACCUGCCCGUCUCUUCUAGUUUAUGUGUCUCCAGCCCUUGGCAAUUUGAUGCUGGUACUAAAAGAACUAUUAAAAGCACCACUCUGCCAUGUAUUUCCUGCCAUGUUGGACAUGAGUUCCCUGACACUGUGAGUCAAAAAUAAAUCUCUAAAGUUGUUUCUGUUAGGUAUUUUGAUCACAGCAACAUUGCUAUUUUCUGUUCUUUUCAUGCUUCUUUCUAAUGGCAAAUAUGCAAAAGAAUGAAAGGUGCUUCGUGAAACUAACAAACACGCUAUGUAACAUAUAUGAAGUCAUUGCUGUUUACUGGGCAAGCAUGAUGUUCUGUCUUUAAUAAAGAUUUUCCUUGUCUGCCUCUGCCAUUUCAAUUGAGGGGACUAUUGACUAUUUCUCUAACAUUCUCUCUAUCUUAUUUAUUUAUUUUGGUUUUUCAAGACAGGGUUCUUCUACAUAGCCGUGGAUGUCCUGGACUCAUUCUGUAGAACAGGCCACCCUAGAACUAGUAGAGAUCUGUCUGUCUCUGCCUCCUGGGUGCUGGGCUUAAAGGUAGGAAGAGGAUGAAUUUCCCACAAUCCCAGGUACGGCGUUCAGUUUGUGGAGCAAAAGCAUCAGAGAUAAUGGACUUAAAUGCAAGAAAAGAAGACUCAGCAUGCAGAUCUGCACUCAGGUCUGCAAAGUAACAGGUUAACAAAGGAGAAGGCUGAUGUACAGAAGAAAAUGGAUUUUAUGAGCAGGCAAACACAUGGAUUCUAGGCCCCAGACAUACUGAGAGAAUCCAAUUCCUGUUAAUCCAUUUGCUGUUGCUUCAAACUGGCUACUUUCAAGAACUGUACAAUGUACCAAUACGUGGGCUGCUAAGACUCUGAAACAGACAAUGUGCCAAACAAAACCGAACUCUUUAGAUAAGAAAACUGACUUAUGCAUCUUCUUUUCUGCCACGCUAGAGAAUCGAACUCACUACGGUGAGUGCUUGGUAAGUGUUCUAGUUACAGAGUUGUUCAUCCAGCCCUGGAGUUUUACCUAGUCUUAGGAGUGUCAAAGGGAGAAUCAAAAAACAAAAUAAAAAUGGCCAGUAAAGGCUUGUGUUGUCUUGAGGAAAAAAUGCUUCCUCAUGAGCUGCUCAUUUCUUCAGCUGGUGGUCUCGGCUGGCACAGGACAAUUUAACAAAUGCAAACCCUAAGUGCCCCCUCUCGUCUUCUCUCUCUGUCUCUGUCUCUCUCUCUCUGGG